GACGAACUCUGGCGGCGUGCUUAACACAUGCAAGUCGAACGGAAAGGCCCUGCUUUUGUGGGGUGCUCGAGUGGCGAACGGGUGAGUAACACGUGAGUAACCUGCCCUUGACUUUGGGAUAACCUCAGGAAACUGGGGCUAAUACCGGAUAGGAGCUCCUGCUGCAUGGUGGGGGUUGGAAAGUUUCGGCGGUUGGGGAUGGACUCGCGGCUUAUCAGCUUGUUGGUGGGGUAGUGGCUUACCAAGGCUUUGACGGGUAGCCGGCCUGAGAGGGUGACCGGCCACAUUGGGACUGAGAUACGGCCCAGACUCCUACGGGAGGCAGCAGUGGGGAAUAUUGCACAAUGGGCGGAAGCCUGAUGCAGCAACGCCGCGUGCGGGAUGACGGCCUUCGGGUUGUAAACCGCUUUCGCCUGUGACGAAGCGUGAGUGACGGUAAUGGGUAAAGAAGCACCGGCUAACUACGUGCCAGCAGCCGCGGUGAUACGUAGGGUGCGAGCGUUGUCCGGAUUUAUUGGGCGUAAAGGGCUCGUAGGUGGUUGAUUGCGUCGGAAGUGUAAUCUUGGGGCUUAACCCUGAGCGUGCUUUCGAUACGGGUUGACUUGAGGAAGGUAGGGGAGAAUGGAAUUCCUGGUGGAGCGGUGGAAUGCGCAGAUAUCAGGAGGAACACCAGUGGCGAAGGCGGUUCUCUGGGCCUUUCCUGGCGCUGAGGAGCGAAAGCGUGGGGAGCGAACAGGCUUAGAUACCCUGGUAGUCCACGCUGUAAACGGUGGGUACUAGGUGUGGGGUCCAUUCCACGGGUUCCGUGCCGUAGCUAACGCUUUAAGUACCCCGCCUGGGGAGUACGGCCGCAAGGCUAAAACUCAAAGGAAUUGACGGGGCCCCGCACAAGCGGCGGAGCAUGCGGAUUAAUUCGAUGCAACGCGUAGAACCUUACCUGGGUUUGACAUGGAUCGGGAGUGCUCAGAGAUGGGUGUGCCUCUUUUGGGGUCGGUUCACAGGUGGUGCAUGGCUGUCGUCAGCUCGUGUCGUGAGAUGUUGGGUUAAGUCCCGCAACGAGCGCAACCCUUGUUCACUGUUGCCAGCACGUUAUGGUGGGGACUCAGUGGAGACCGCCGGGGUCAACUCGGAGGAAGGUGGGGAUGACGUCAAGUCAUCAUGCCCCUUAUGUCCAGGGCUUCACGCAUGCUACAAUGGCUGGUACAGAGAGUGGCGAGCCUGUGAGGGUGAGCGAAUCUCGGAAAGCCGGUCUCAGUUCGGAUUGGGGUCUGCAACUCGACCUCAUGAAGUCGGAGUCGCUAGUAAUCGCAGAUCAGCAACGCUGCGGUGAAUACGUUCCCGGG
rnacentral:rRNA from 1 species